AUUGAACGCUGGCGGCAUGCCUUACACAUGCAAGUCGAACGGUAACAGGUCUUCGGAUGCUGACGAGUGGCGAACGGGUGAGUAAUACAUCGGAAUGUGCCUAGUAAUGGGGGAUAACUACUCGAAAGAGUGGCUAAUACCGCAUGAGAGCUACGGAAGAAAUCAGGGGAUCGCAAGACCUUGUGCUACUAGAGCGGCAGAUGGCAGAUUAGGUAGGUGGUGGGAUAAAAGCUUACCAAGCCGACGAUCUGUAGCUGGUCUGAGAGGGCGAUCAGCCACACUUGGACUGAGACACGGCCCAGACUCCUACGGGAGGCAGCAGUGGGGAAUUUUGGACAAUGGGCGCAAGCCUGAUACAGCAAUGCCGCGUGCAGGAUGAAGGCCUUCGGGUUGUAAACUGCUUUUGUACGGAACGAAAAGCCCUGGGUUAAUACCCUGGGGUCAUGACGGUACCGUAAGAAUAAGCACCGGCUAACUACGUGCCAGCCGCCGCCGUAAUAC
rnacentral:rRNA from 1 species